AAAACUACGAGUCCCAGCUCUCUGGGCAUGCUGGGAGUUGUAGCUUUGCAACAGCUGGAGGCUCCCUGAUUGGGAAACACUGCUGCUUAUUAAAGAAGUAGUCCUGUAUCAAAAAACAUAUUCCCUAUCUGCAGGUCCCUGGUGGCUGGUCUGAUCUCUGUGACCCCCAGACAUCUCCUGCCCAGUGCCGCAGCUCUCUGUAUGAAUGCAGUGCAUCUCUAUGGGACAUUGUGCGAACACUGUAUCUCCAGCUCUUCAUACAGCUGCAUGGAGGGGAUGUGUCAUCCACAACUUCGUGCGGUGGUCGACACGCCUCCAUUCAUGAGGAGAGCGAGGCAUGGGGGGGAUCAGCGGUCGGACCCCCGCAAUCAGACACAUCCCCCUAUUUUUUUUUUUUUAAGAGCCAAGGCAAGUGCUCUCUAUCACCCAAAGUGCAAGAAUAAGUGCAAACAUGUCAAUCACCUGACCUGAAUCAGAUUGAGCAUGCAUUUCACUUUCUGAAGACAAAACUGAAGGGAAAAUGCCCCAAGAACAGGAAGCAGGAACUGAAGACCGUUGCAGUAGAGGCCUGGCAGAGCAUCACCAAGGAUGAAACCCAGCAAUGUCUGCUGAUGUCUAUGCGUUCCAGACUUCAGGCUGUAAUUGACUGCAAAGGAUUUGCAACCAACUUAAUGGCCCCGCCCUUUCCUGGAUCUUGUCUCUGAGCUCUAGCCCUGUACCCCAAGUGAUGUCAUCACCUCUGACCAGACCCUACAGCCUACAUCUACCAGUCAUAUAUAUCAUCAUUGGGACACUUCGGGAAAAAUAGCUGUGAUACAGUAUGCUAGCUUGUGCUGAGCAAUGCCACAGGCAGAGAAGCAGACAAGGAAUCAAUACAGAAAGUGCUGCAACCUCACUGUUUGUGAGUCUGCUGUAAAAUGAGAUGUUCUGCAGCAGCUUUGAACAGAUCUUGUGUUGUCACACACUUUGGAUAACCACCCUACCAUCACAAUCAUCUCUACUUCUCUAUCUUCUGCAAACCCCAUGUCUCCUAUCUGAUAGAUGACAGAAAAUCUAC